rnacentral:rRNA from 1 species
CCUACGGGUGGCAGCAGUGGGGAAUAUUGGGCAAUGGUCGCAAGCCUGACCCAGCAACGCCGCGUGAAGGAAGAAGGCUUUCGGGUUGUAAACUUCUUUUCUGAGGGACGAAAAAAGUGACGGUACCUCAGGAAUAAGCCACGGCUAACUACGUGCCAGCAGCCGCGGUAAUACGUAGGUGGCAAGCGUUAUCCGGAUUUAUUGGGUGUAAGGGGCGUGUAGGCGGGAAAGCAAGUCAGAUGUGAAAACUCAGGGCUAAAACCUGAGCCUGCAUUUGAAACUGUUUUUCUUGAGUGCGAGAGAGGCAAUCGGAAUUCGGGGUGUAGCGGUGAAAUGCGUAGAUAUACGGAGGAACACCAGUGGCGAAGGCGGAUUGCUGGACAGUAACUGACGCUGAGGCGCGAAAGCGUGGGGAGCAAACAGGAUUAGAUACCCUGGUAGUC